rnacentral:rRNA from 1 species
UACGGAGGGGGUUAGCGUUGUUCGGAAUGACUGGGCGUAAAGCGCGCGUAGGCGGGCUGGAAAGUUGGGGGUGAAAUCCCGGGGCUCAACCCCCGGAAUGGCCUUCAAAACUCCCAGCCUAGAGUUCGAGAGAGGUGAGUGGAAUUCCGAGUGUAGAGGUGAAAUUCGUAGAUAUUCGGAGGAACACCAGUGGCGAAGGCGGCUCACUGGCUCGACACUGACGCUGAGGUGCGAAAGCGUGGGGAGCAAACAGG